rnacentral:rRNA from 1 species
CCUACGGGAGGCAGCAGUGGGGAAUAUUGCACAAUGGGGGAAACCCUGAUGCAGCGACGCCGCGUGAGUGAUGAAGUAUUUCGGUAUGUAAAGCUCUAUCAGCAGGGAAGAAAAUGACGGUACCUGACUAAGAAGCCCCGGCUAACUACGUGCCAGCAGCCGCGGUAAUACGUAGGGGGCAAGCGUUAUCCGGAUUUACUGGGUGUAAAGGGAGCGUAGGCGGCUAAUCAAGUCAGAAGUGAAAACCCAGGGCUCAACCGUGGGACUGCUUUUGAAACUGAGUAGCUGGAGUGCAGGAGAGGUAAGCGGAAUUCGUGGUGUAGCGGUGAAAUGCGUAGAUAUUAGGAGGAACACCAGUGGCGAAGGCGGCUUACUGGACUGUAACUGACGUUGAGGCUCGAAAGCGUGGGGAGCAAACAGGAUUAGAUACCCGAGUAGUC